GCUUGCACCUGGUGGCGAGUGGCGAACGGGUGAGUAAUAUAUCGGAACGUACCCUAGAGUGGGGGAUAACGCAGCGAAAGUUGCGCUAAUACCGCAUACGAUCUACGGAUGAAAGUGGGGGAUCGCAAGACCUCAUGCUCAUGGAGCGGCCGAUAUCUGAUUAGCUAGUUGGUGGGGUAAAAGCCUACCAAGGCAUCGAUCAGUAGCUGGUCUGAGAGGACGACCAGCCACACUGGAACUGAGACACGGUCCAGACUCCUACGGGAGGCAGCAGUGGGGAAUUUUGGACAAUGGGCGCAAGCCUGAUCCAGCAAUGCCGCGUGAGUGAAGAAGGCCUUCGGGUUGUAAAGCUCUUUUGUCAGGGAAGAAACGGUGAGGGCUAAUAUCCUUUGCUAAUGACGGUACCUGAAGAAUAAGCACCGGCUAACUACGUGCCAGCAGCCGCGGUAAUACGUAGGGUGCAAGCGUUAAUCGGAAUUACUGGGCGUAAAGCGUGCGCAGGCGGUUAUGUAAGUCAGAUGUGAAAUCCCCGGGCUCAACCUGGGAAUGGCAUUUGAGACUGCAUGGCUAGAGUGUGUCAGAGGGGGGUAGAAUUCCACGUGUAGCAGUGAAAUGCGUAGAGAUGUGGAGGAAUACCGAUGGCGAAGGCAGCCCCCUGGGAUAACACUGACGCUCAUGCACGAAAGCGUGGGGAGCAAACAGGAUUAGAUACCCUGGUAGUCCACGCCCUAAACGAUGUCUACUAGUUGUCGGGACUUAAUUGUCUUGGUAACGCAGCUAACGCGUGAAGUAGACCGCCUGGGGAGUACGGUCGCAAGAUUAAAACUCAAAGGAAUUGACGGGGACCCGCACAAGCGGUGGAUGAUGUGGAUUAAUUCGAUGCAACGCGAAAAACCUUACCUACCCUUGACAUGUACGGAACCUCUGAGAGAUUAGAGGGUGCUCGAAAGAGAGCCGUAACACAGGUGCUGCAUGGCUGUCGUCAGCUCGUGUCGUGAGAUGUUGGGUUAAGUCCCGCAACGAGCGCAACCCUUGUCAUUAGUUGCUACGAAAGGGCACUCUAAUGAGACUGCCGGUGACAAGCCGGAGGAAGGUGGGGAUGACGUCAAGUCCUCAUGGCCCUUAUGGGUAGGGCUUCACACGUCAUACAAUGGUACAUACAGAGGGCCGCCAACCCGCGAGGGGGAGCUAAUCCCAGAAAGUGUAUCGUAGUCCGGAUUGUAGUCUGCAACUCGACUACAUGAAGUUGGAAUCGCUAGUAAUCGCGGAUCAGCAUGUCGCGGUGAAUACGUUCCCGGGUCUUGUACACACCGCCCGUCACACCAUGGGAGCGGGUUUCACCAGAAGUAGGUAGCCUAACCGCAAGGAGGGCGCUUACCACGG
rnacentral:rRNA from 1 species